UAGUUUUUGUCUUAGGCCUGCAAACUCUGAAUUGGAUAAUACAAUAAUAAUAAUAAUAAAAUACACGUUUUAAAAUUAAAUAUUUGCACACACGAUCACAAUUUAUUUCCCUUCAUAACCCCAAUUUUUGCAUGGCCCUCUUAUAGCAUAUACAUAUAGCUACUAUGGUACAAAGGGAGGCAUAUACAUCAAAGUAUAUAUGACACAUGAAACAUAUUGGUAUAUCAAAUAUUCUGGACAGUUCAGUUGGAUAUGGAACAAUGGGAACUCUUGAUAGUACUUCAUAUACCUGCCAUGCAUUCCGGUGGGGUGACCGGGUACCGAGACUUGUCGGUGCAGUAAUCGUAGAUCAUGUGGUUCAUCCGAACCCACCUGUAUCUCCUAGCUUCCAUGGCAUUAAGAGCUUGAUAAGCAGUACCUUCCCACCAGUUCCUAGGGUUACUAGCACAAUUUGCUGGCCCUGGAACUGGACACCCUUCAAUGUCAAAAUCCUUGUAAUAAGCCAAAAAUGGUGCUUUGCUCCAAUCAAUUUUCUCAAGUCCUCCCCUUGUUGCCCAAUCAUCAGCUUCCCAUAGUGUUGAAUAUACCCCCAUAGGUUGAAAUUUUGGGUAUGGGAUGUUUUUUGCUUCAUUGUUCUUGUAUACUCUUAUUGGCACUUCAUCUACAUAAAACCUGUUAAGAAAAAGCACCCAAAUGGUCAAAUUUUAAUGUCAUAUAUGCUUAUUAAUGUCAUAUUUAUAGUUAGAUACUGGACUUACACAAUAUGAUGAUGGUUCCAAAUAAUUGUGUAUGUAUGGAAAUCAGCAGCUGGAUCAAACCAGAGGUUAACCCUUUGUUCUUUAUCACCUUUACCAUGAGCAUAUAUGUUGGUUUGGACCGUGUAUGGUUGCCCGGUUCGGUUUCCCAAGAACUCGAAAUCUAGCUCGUCUCUUACGGUGUCCGUAUCAGAAUUCAUCUGCAAUACCAGAUUACAAUGAAAAACAGAUUAAAGGUUAAAGGUUAUGUCGGUAGGUAGCUUUACGUACGUAAAAGGCGGUGACGGUUCCGGCCGAGUCACCGGGGAUAAGCUUGAUCUUCAUGCUGACACGUCCAAACAAAUACCGUCUUUUGGAAGCAAAUCCACAGCCUAUAAAACAAAAUGAAUUAACAACACAUUAUCGAAGGGUUAACACAUUUAAUCAUUGAUUAUUAUUUUUAAAAAGUUAAACCUGAAUUUUGGUCUAGAAUAAGUUGAAUGGCCCUCCCCCCAUCGAUUUGCUUGAUAUGGGAAUCGGACCAAGUGAUUCUAAAAUCUUCGAGGAAAGUGGCGGGUCGUCCCGAAACCGAGAUCGAACAUGCAAGGAAACAAGAGAAGAUGAAAAGAAAAGCACUGCUUAGAGUUGCCAUUGUCAUCAAUGUUUUGAACUUAGAAGAUUAAAUUGUGGUGAAUAUGUGUAUAUGUGUAUGUAUAUAUAUAUAUAGGUGGGAGAGAUUAAGGUUGAUGUAGACCGCUGCAUUGAAAUAGAAAGUGCCAUUCUUAAGUUUAGCUUUCGAUACAGCUAAUGGCAAGCCGUCUUUAGGCCCUACAUACCCCCCAACUGUGCUCUAAUUUUGCCCUUUGGGAACCUAAUCUUAAUGCUUCCACUUCAUAACUCUCUUUGUUUUUGUUUUCAUUCUCCAACCUAACAAGAAAAAGGGAUCACAGAUAUUGAAAUUUUACAAUUGAAUUGAUCGUAUAUAUAUUGUUUGUCAUGUUCCAUCAUCACAUGAAAAUUUGAUUAAUUUUAUAUAUGGGUGGAUAAUUUUCCAUCUCUUGAAAUUGAUAUGGUAUGAAGGUGGUGUAGAAAAGGAUUGAAGACCAAUGAGGUGUGCCUAAAAAUUUGGGUCAAAUAGGGUUUGGACUUAAGUUCACAAAGGCAGUCUCAUUCAAUAUUGCUUAUCUAAUUUAUCUGUGAACAGCUUAGACUGAUAUUGAACGGCCGGUUGGCCGGAUCCACCGAGUUACAUGCCCCACCAUUAAGUUUUUUGGGGUCUAUUAAUCUUAAACUCUGGUCAAUUCCAUAAGCCUGAAAACCAAUCAGUAUAUCAAUUUAGAUAAAAGGGUUAGAUCGAUUUUAGAGCGAAGCACUUAAAAUUAAAUUUAAACCGUAAACCGGUUGAACUGUUUUUUAACGUUUUUAGUCCAAAUUAAUGGUCCAAAUCGAAAAAAAAUCUCAACUGGUAAAAUCCAAAUACAUAAAUAUAUCAACCCAACCCACUCGAAUACUUAAAAAAAUUAUUAUUAUUAAGAAAAAAAAGAGAGAGGAGAAAAAUCAAUAUAAAUCGAAGUGUCAUUAUUGUUAUUUAUUUGUGUUUAUACAAUUUUGUUUUUAAUUUUGUCAAAUUUUUACUUAUUUUCCAAAUUUUCUUUAAUUUUGGACCAAUCGAACUAAAAUUUGGUGAUCUGAUUAGUUCGAUCACCAAUCCAAUUCCGAAAACAUUGGGGGUAGGGGUUUCAUAUUGAUAUAGUAGACAUCGAUAAAAAUAAGAAAAAUAAGAACACAUGAAUUUCUUCAACAAGUGACGGGAUUCGGGUCACACAAUCUCUAACACAUAUUAACAUGGCUAGCUCUUCUAGAAAAGCUUUUAAAUGUUAAUCGAAAAGUUUCCCAACUCGAAUAAAAAAAUCUUAAAUCAAAAAUGACUCAAAAAUGACAUAAAUAAAUAACUUGAAAUAACUUAACUCAAAAAUUCACUAACAAACCCGAAUAACUUCAUCUUACAAAUCAUCCAAACCCAAAUUAAUAUCAAACCUAAAACCACUCAAAAGUCAUGUUGAAAAUUGGAUCAAAUUCCAUUCCCAUCUUUUUCUACCACUUGACAAUUGUUGUGACAAGGAAUAAUUUCAAACAAAAGUAUUAUCCUAUUUUACAUCAAUUGAAGGGAAUUUAAAGUUAAAACACAGAUAGUGAAAGACUGAGAUAUCUGAAAAUUAUAAGACAGAAAGGGAUCAUUUCUUUCACCAUUUGCAUAAUUGACGUACAAAGAUCCUUGGGAUUAAAGUUCAACCAAUGUUGGCUGCAAACCUCAAUUAUUUUAAAACUUUGACCUCAAAGUCAAUAUAAAAAAAUAAUUCUAAAAAUAUGUAGUCCUUAAAUGAUUAAAUAUGCAAAUUUCCUUGUCCAAAUAAAAUUUUUAAUUUCUCCUCACAAAUUAUGAUUAAUUUAUAAUAAAAAAUAAAAACUGAGGAUCAUGAUUUCCUCUCUCAACUAUAUAUCUCCAGGAUCCAAAUUUAAGUUCUUUUCAUAAGAGCAAAUACGGUUUACCACUGCACUCAACAUUUUUUUUUAAAAAAUUAUGUAUAGGAGGAGGCAAAUUCUCUUAUAUCCUGUAUGUUAGUAUUGAGUUGCGGAUUUGUUGUGUUUUGAGUUGCAGCUAAUGAUAUAAUUGAAAUUGAAAAAGAAAAUGGUUAAAAUAUGUCAUAGGUUCCUGUGCUUUUUAAUUUCAGGAAUUUAGUUUCUCUGCUUUCUAGAUUUCAAAAUUCAAGUCAAAUUAUUAAUUGUGUUAAUUUUUUGGGGUUGAAUUUGUUGGUGUGACAUUUUAAAAUAAGAAAAAAAAACUUACUUGGUAGUAAUGUAACUAAAAUAAUAGCGUUGUAAUGAACCUGAAUUUAAUAAAAUAAUAUUAAUAGUGCUAACAGUUGGACCUAAUUUUACAUCUAAAAAGUAGGGGGAUUAAAUUCCAAAUUUUUGAAGAGUUUAGAGACUUAUAAUAUAUUUUAUCCAAAAAUUAGUUGUAGAAAUAAUUCAACAAUACAAGAGACGAUUUAAGCUCAACUUACUCAACUUGUUGUUGCCUACAUGCAUAUAUAUAUUUGGGGUUAAAUCACUUUUUAGGAUCAAAACAUGGUAACAUUUUUUAUAUUGGGGUUUGAAUUUUUUUUCAAGUUAAGUCAUGAACUUAGCAAUUAUUCUUCCAUUGGGAACUAAAUUUUUUUUAUUCAAGAUAGAUCCUGAAUUAACAAUUUUUCCAAUAUUAGGGUUGAAUUUUUUUUUCCAAAUUAGUCUUUAAAAACCCUAAAAGUUCAGGUCAAGCCUCGAUGUGAGAAUAAUUAUCAAGUUCUUGGACUAACUUGAAAAAAAUUCAAGCCCCAAUGUGAGAACAAUUGCCUAGUCUAGACCCCAAUGUGAGAACAGUUGUCAAGUUCAAAGUCUAACUUGAACCAAAAAAAAAUUUAUACUCCAGUGUAAAAAAAGUUACCAAGUUCAAAUCCCAAAUAAUGAUUUAACACUAUAUUCUAUAUUGAUAAAACAUAAAAAAAAAUCUUAAUUAAAUUAUAAAUAAAAUUAAUCAUGUAAUUAACUCUCAACAUUUAGGGUGCGUUUGGUUCGCUGUAUUGGAUUAGAGGUGUAUUGGAUUAAAGGUGUAAUAGCAAAUCAACUGUUUGGUUGAAUGUAAUGGAAUAGAGGCGUAAUAGUAAUCUUGUGUUUGGUUGAAUGGAAUAGAGGUGUAAUAGUAAUCUUGUGUUUGGUUGAAUGUAAUGUUAAGAUCCGCAAUUAAUUAUUUUUCCCUAAUGAUGAGAAACUAAUUUAACUUUUAUAUUUGAACUAAUAUACCAAUUAAUUUUUUGUUCAUUCAAUGGCAAAUAUUUUAUGGGGCAUGCAUGGUAUGGCAUAUAAGUGAUUGCUGGGAUAAGCUAAUAAAUGCGUUCUCCAUUGGCAUUGAAUUUUGCCACCAUAACAAUAUUUGGGGUAAAUUUCAAAAAUAGUCCCAUAUCUUUGUUUAAGUUUAAUUUUGGUCACCGAUGUUUCAAUUGUUACGUUUUGUAGUUCACUUUUAUAUUCGGACCAAUAUACUCUUUCCCGUCUUCCUUUUCUUUUCUUCUAACCAAACCCUAGUCGCUGCUCACCGCCAUCGAUGGUCCUCCGGCCGAUAGUGCCACCAUAACUCCUCUCCUCUCCGUUCACUGAUUCAGAUUUCUUCUAGACCAAACAAAAGGACAAAAUCCCAAGUUGAAGCUUAAACCUUUUCCAACCGUCAGAUCGGCCGAAUCCCAGGAUAUGUGCCUCUCCUCCGUCCAACGAGGCUUUUCACCAUUGGAUUUGCGAGCAAAUAACUAGAGCCCCGAGAAUUCAACAACCCGAAAUGGGUUUUCUCUUCCCCUUUUGAUUUCCAUUUGCUCUCUUUUUCUUGAUUUUGUAUUCUCUUUUUUUCAUUUCUCUAAUCUCUCUCCGCAAGUUCUCUCUUUUUGAGCUGUUAUUCCUUCUUUUCCGUGACAUGGAAGCCAUGUUAGCAUUUAGUGGUACAGAUUUUUAUUAACACUAUUAACGGCCAUUAACCGACCAGUAAUCAAAUUGAUAAUAAUUUAUGAUCAAAUCAUAACAAUGACCCAAAUAUGGGAUUAUUUUUGAAAUUUCUAUAACACUAUUAAUGCCCAUGGUGGUAAUUUAUUAUUAUAUUAAUUAAAAUUAUAUAUAAUUGAUAGAAAACAUUAAUUUUUGUAAUUAAUUAUCUUCGAUUACUCAUUUUAAGAGAUUAAUCUGCUUCAUAUUAAAAUUGAGAGAGAUUGAAGAGAUAUUUUUACCUAAAAAUUUUUAGUAUAAGCCUCUACCACUUUCCUAGCCAAUCAAGUCCUUAUCAUAUGGUUUGAUUGUCAAACUCAAAAUUAAAGUCAGUCUUUAUUAAAUCAAAUAAUUGCCAAGUGUAUAGCUUUUGCCGGUUCAAUCUUAAUAAUGUAAUCCAUCUAAUAAUAUAUAUUUGUUAAUGGGUCGGCCGGAUCAACUUGUAUGUUUAUCCAAAUUUGCUUAGUCUGAAAUAUAAAUUUAAAAUUUUAUCUAAAUCUAUCUAUAUUUAUAAAUAUUUGGUCUAAAUUCAUUUUAAAUCCGCUCAUAUUAUCUUUAAUUUAUUAUUUAAUAAUUCAAUUUUUUAUUUAUAAAAAUUUUAUAUAUAGACAUCUAAUAUUUUUAAUGUUUAUAUAAUACAUAUUAAAAAUUACAAAGGGUCUAGGCCAAGUCGGACUUCAAAUGUUCAAACUCAAAUUCGACUCAUAUUUUAAACGAGCUUAAUUUUUGUUUAAGCUCAAUUUUACGAGUUUAACCUUUUUAAAUAUUAGACAAAACAUUGAAUUUAAACGAAUAAUCCGAUCUAUGAAUAGCUCUAGAUUAACCCAAGACUCAAUUAUUUGAAAAACAUAAAAAGGGCCUAGGUGGACAAAAAGGUUUAAUGUAUUUUGUUUUUAGCCGGUAAAUUGAGAAUGCUGGAAUUGACAAAGCAACAAUAAAUAAGAAGCAUCUUUAAUUAGAGGCUGGCAAGCCAAUGGCUCUUCAAUUCCUAUUUUUUCAUUAUCUUAUAUUAAUAAUUAAUUUGGAUUAUUUAUUUAUUUUUCUUGAUAAUGAUUAAACAUAAAAGUUUUAGUGUCAUAAAUAGAAAUCGGAGUAAAUAUAGAGUUGUUCAUAAGACAGGUGGCCCACUUAGCUCGUGUAGUAUGAUCCAAUCUGAAUUUAAAUUAAAUUCUUUUUAAUUUUUAUAUAAAUAUCAAUAUCAAAUAAUAUAUUUUAAUAUUUUACUAAUUUUUUAAAUGGUGAUAUGGAAAAUUUUUAAAAAAUUUGAUAAUUAUAUAUUUCUUUCACUACUAUUAUAUAUAUUUUUAUUAAAUUUUCAAAUAUAAAUAACUUACCUUUUUUAAAAUAUAUACAUUAUGAUAUAACAUAUUUAAUUUUCAUAUGAUAUAAGUACAUAAUGAUUAAUAAAAGGAAAAGUUACAUAUCAUAAGCUUGAAAACAUACCGGAGUUGAUAUUUGAAUAUUGGAGUUCGAAUUAGACUUAUAUUUUAAAUGAACCUAAUUUUUUUACAUAAACUCACUCCUAGCAUGACGAUUGUUUUUUUUUUUUUCGAAUCCUCCCAAUUAUUGAGAAGGAAUUUGAGUUAGGGUAGGUAUAUUGACCAUUGAACAAGUCCAAUCAUAGUUAAUAUUUUGAAAUUAUGAUUCAGAUUUUUUAUUGGUCGCUAAAUUUUAAAACUUUCUAACUAAACUAGUAUAAGUAUCGUAUCAAUCAAGUCUUUUCGAAAGUUUAGUCAUUAGCUUGAGGAUAAACGUUGGCUCAAACAUAACAUUGAGCCUAUUUUAAAUAUAUGGAUCAAAUUAUAAUAUGUGUAUCGAAUUUGACGUGUUAAGAAAUGAAUCUCUUAAAUUUAAUUGACGUUGUUACUUGGGAUAAACAACACUCAAGAUUAAUAAAUUAAUAAAUUAAUGUUUUAAUCAUUUAACUUUAAAAAAUUACUAAAUAAUUAUUGAAGGGGCAAAAUAUCAAAAAAAAUCCUAUUUUUUAAAAUUUACCGAAAUGGGCCCGGUAUUUUAUUAUUUACCGGAAUGGGCCAUUUUCCCCAAAAUCGCGUCCACAUCAGCGCGAUGUCAGAUGACGUGUCAGAACAUCGCAUCCACGUCAACGCGCUUUGCUUGCGUGGACACAAAUCGCGCCUACGAGGACGCGAUUUGCUGACGUGGAUGAACAGUUUAUGUUUUUUAGCUUGGAAAACUUUGAAAGGCCAUAACUUUUGGCUCGGUUGUCCGAUUGAGAUGAUUUUUUUUUAUUUCGAAUAACUUUUCGAGAUCUAUGCUCUGGCAAACUGCUAGUUUGCCGCAGUUUUCGUCGAAAAAGAUCAUUUUUUGCCCCUGAAUUUCAAUUUUUCAGUUUAAAAUUAAAUUUUGAAACAUUCAAAUCAUUAUUUUCCUUAUUUAUUUGAAGUAAACACCGGAUUUUUUUUUUACAAAACUGUUGUAUUAUUUUUUCUGAUUUGACACGUGUAUGGAAUAGGUCCGAUAAAUCGUUAGAACGUAAGUAAUAUAAUUAAGAUAAUAACAGUAUUUUUAUAAUAUGUUAAUUAAUUAGUUUAGCUUAGUUGGUUAAAAUGCUUGCUCUUUUCCCUUAGUACCUAGGUUCAAAUCUUGUUGGUAACAAUUUUAAAUCUUUUUUGUACUUGUUGCUGACAAUUUUAAAUCUUUUUUGUACUUGUUGCUAUUGAUGUAAUAUUGAAGAGUUAAUUGAUUAAAAAAUAAAUACAAAUACAAAAAGAUUCAAAAUUUAUUUUUUCGAAAUACCAAAAAAGCCCUAUAUUUUUAAAAUUUAUCGAAAUGGGCCCAGUAUUUUAUUUUUUUGACCAUUGGGUAUUGUUCACGCGCGGGCCGAAAUCGCGUCCAUGUCAGCAUCUCACGCUGACGUGGACGCGAUUUCCUGACGCAUACCCUGACAUCGCGUUGACGUGGAUGCAAUUUUCCGGAAAAAGUACCAUUUCGGUAAAUAAUUAAAAAAUGGGCCCAUUUCGAUAAUUUUUAAAAAAAAAGCUUUUAUUAGUAAAUUGCUCAUUACUGAACUGCUUAAAAAUUUUCAUUUAAAUUACUGAAAAGGUUUUAAAUAUAUAAUUUUACAAUUUUUUUUUGUUUUAUUAAAUAAAUGACCGACAAUACUAUAAGAAAUUAAUGAUAUUUAUUGAGACUAGUUCUAUGCACAUCCCCCGAGGGGGAAUAAAACAAUAAAGAAAAUUUUGGGUGAAAAUUCAAAAUAAUGAAAAAUUAAAAUUACUUAACUAAUAAUUUUUACUAUUUAUCCUUAUCGAUUUAUUUAUUGCAAUGUACUCUAAUUUAUAUGAUUUUUGGUUCUUGUAUUUUUUAUGUUCUUAAAUUAAUUAAGUUAAAUUUGUUAUUUCUAAAAUUUUACAUGGCAAACAUGUUUUUUUUUUCCACAUAAUCCUUGCAAAAAAAAGUCAAUCACUUUAGUUAAUUGAUAAAAUAGUUACGGUUUGAAUCGUGACUAAAAUAUCAAAAUUUAAAAGUUAAGUAUUAAAAAUGAUGAAAUUGGAGAACAUGGUCUAAAUCCAUAAUUUAGGCAUAGUACAAGAUUAAUAGCAUAAUUUGAUUUAACAUAUUUAACUGUCGUUUGGGUUGAGAUUAAAAUUUCAAAUUUUAAAAAGUACAAAAAUUAAAAUUGACCAAAUUAAAGCAUAAGAACUAAAUUAAUAAAUUAUACAUGAUAUAGGGAGUAGGGACCAAUAACAAAAUUUGACCUUAUAAAUGAAUAAAAAGUGCUAAUGGUUUUAAAAACUUACUGUGAUAAAAAAAAUGCAUGAGAGAGAAGUUAAAAUUAGGAAAGUUUUCUAGUCUCAUCAUUAGCUAUUGCUAUGUGUUGGUUUUAUGUGUUGAGUUUAAGACUAUGAAGAUAAAUAUUAAUGCUAAAAUAAUCUCAUAAAAAGACUUUACAAAUAUAAUCGUAAAGUUCAAAAUAAAACAAAAAUCUACAAGAUAUAUCUUCAAGUCAAUCUUCAUAAAUCAAGGGAUCCAAUUUAUUUGACCUAGAUCAGUCCAAACUUCAAGGAUUUGUAGCUUCACAAAAUAGAUCUUCAAAUAUGGGUCAACACAUGUUCAUAAUAUUCACUAAGUCAUGACCCAACUGUUUUGGUUUAAAGAUCCGUCGACAUUAAUAAGCCAAGUUAUGUAACUUGUGCAGAGCCAAAAGCAAUGAACACCGACUGUGGCACUACAUGAGACAUUGCUCACAUAUUGCCUCAACAAUCUCUUCCAACAAGAAUUCUAUAUUUAGAAUAUGAAUCCAUCUUUAUAAAGUACCAUUUAAUCCAUCUAAAUCUGUCCAAAUUUUAUCAAAUCAAUUACCCUUAAUAUAAGAUUACAAAUGAUUGAGGUAAAUCUUCAUAAAAUCAACUCGUGUCUUCUUAGAUUUACAUAUCCAAAUAUAUAAGAUAACUUAAUUUGGACACGAGCAAUAUUACUACUUUAAAAACUUACCUCAACCCAAACACUUGUAUAAACUUAUUUUGUAUGAGAAAUUAUAGAGAAGGUUAAUUAAAUUUUAAUGUAAUUGCUGCAAAAUUUUCAAUUAUUUCAAUGGGAUAAUGAUAAGAAUAUUAUAUGAGAUUUGAGACCCUACAUUAUUGUGAAAUAUCAAAUCAGACCUACAUGACAUUUUUUUUCUUCAUAUAAAUCAAAUUUAAUUUAUAGAAAGUUCUAUUUUGCAUAUUUUAGCUGGAUCACACAUAAAAAAGUACUUUUAAUUCAUUGAAUUUUUUGAAGGGAAAAUCAAAUCAGGUAUAAUUUAAUAUUUCAACAAGCACAAAUAAUUGAUCUUUUGUGUGGUUUUAGAUAAAAAGAAAUAAAUUUUAAAUAAAUUGCUUAGAACCAAUUGAAUAGGAUAAAAAAAUUGAUUAAAUUAAUGGUUGAAUUGAAUUUAUACUUUAAUAAUUAUUUUUUAAAUUUUAAAAUUAUUAAUAAUUUAUUUAACUAAAAUUGAACUGAUAAUCAAUUUGAUCAAACCGGAAAUCGAUUAUCUGAUGAAUUUAAUCACCAAUCCAAUUCUUAAUGCAUGUUUUUGACUUGGACAGAAAUUUUUCUUUUUAAAUUUAAUAUUGGAAAAUGAUUUUUCUAUGUAUUUUUCUUUUUAUAAUGUUUUUGGCUUAAAUACUCAUUUAGCUUUGGAAUUUAUCAUUUUCUCCCAAUUUGGUAUUUAUGGUAUUUUUGUUCCAAUAUUAAAUAUCAAAACCUUUGAUGGAAUGAAAAUCGAGAUACCAACUUGAAAUAGAAAACCAUAAAUACCAACUUAAGAGAAUAUGAUAAAUUCGAGGGUUAAAUGAAUAUUUAAACCAACAUUCACUGAUUCAAGUAUAAACAACUACCCUAUCACAAAUUGAUAGAUUUCAUCCUUCGUUAUAAAACAAAGUUGCUGUGAUAAUUUUAUUUUCAAAAUGAAAUAUAAAAUAAUUAUUAAAUAAACUAAUUAAAAAUAUCAGAAAAUAACAAUUUCCUUUCGGUACUAUCACAGUAUCACUAUAAAUAUAUAUACUCGUAUAUAUAAAAAAAACUAAUAAUUUUCUUUUAAUUAACCAUAUGAAAUCAAUAAUUAAUUAUUACAUUUUUAGAAAUAAUAAUUUAAUUAAAAUUGACAAAUAAUAUCAAUAAAUUAAAGCUUCUAAGAAUAAAAAAAUGAAUGUUAUUAAAAUAAUUAUGAAAAUCUAAUUAAAAAGCUAGCUGCCUCAAAGCUCAUUUAAUGCAUGCAUGGCAAUUGCAGGGUCAGGUAUGCACACGCCCUGAAAAAGAUUGCUCAAACAUUUUCUUACAUACAGAGACUUUUUUGCCUAAAAUUAUACCCUCAAUCAUUUAACAUCUCCUUUUCUUAUCUGCUAAAUUCGAUUUAAUAAAAAUAAUUAAAAAUUUUGAAUGACAAAAAUAUGAACUUUUAAAACCUAAAUGAUUAUUGGAAAAAAAAUAAUUAACAGAGAAAUUUAUAUUUUAAUAUAAUGAUAAAAUUGUACUUUAAUUCCUCUAGUAAUUCAUAAUUCAUAUCUAACUUUCUUUAAAAUAAUUUUCUAACUUCGUCCAUGCUUCAGCAUAUACAGGGGCAAAAUCACCUUUAAUCCUUUUAUAAUUUUAAAAAAUUUAAAUUAGCAUAUGGUAAAAUUACACUUUACCUCUCAAGAAUGAGAACAAAAUUAGUAUAUAAACUAUUAAGAUGAUAAAAUUUUACUUUUACUAUUAUAAAAAUAUACAAUUUUAUUUCGACCCCUCAAUUUCUCUGAAUUUUGAUUGAUUUCCACUAGUUGCCACUAAAUUGUACUAAUGUAGAGUUGAAUUUUAUUCCAAAAAAGCUACUAAUGGUAUCAAUUCAAUACAAUAUAUAUAUAUAAAGUUCAAUGAUUUCGAUAUACCGUUUGCACAAUCAACACGUUUGGUCUAAAUAAUUAUGAAAAAGUUGUAAACUCAUCAUUGAAUACAAGUAUCAUGAACAUUAAAAUAUUUAUCUAUUUCUAUUAUUAAAAACUGACAUGAUUAAUAAUAAAAUAACAAAAUAGUUACAAGUGUCACGCCACGUGUACCUCACUCUAAUGUACAUUAACCAGUUUUUAACAAUAGAAAUGGAUGCAAAUUUUAACAGAAAGACUAGUCUGCUGUUUGAUUUAAUGCAUAAAGACUAACUUACCCAAUUUUAAUAGAAGGGACAAAAUAAAAUCUGACUCUCAGUACAAACAAGACUCCUGGUACUUUUACCUAUUGAGAAACAAUGGAAUUGAAAAAGAAAGUUGGAAGUUCAAAUUCAAUGGGAUAGAAACCUUGAAAGGACAGUGGAUAGUUCUCUUUGAUCUAUAUAACAAGUGAUAUAACAAAACAGUAAUUUAAUUUGAUUAUUAUAAAACCCUGGAAAGAAUCUUACAGUACAAUAAAUAGUUGUUCAAGAAUAUCAACUUGCAAUUCUACUGAGUUGAGGAACUAGCUCCUUAUCUGUAGAGUUUUUCAAAUGUUUGAUGAUUUCGUCGACAUACGGAGCUUCUAAGCAAAUCCUUCUUCUAAGCAUUAACCUAGCAAGCUUCACAGCUUCAACUGAAUGGCUUUGCCGACACAAGCCAACCAAAAGAAUAGAAAAGAUGUCAGUGUCGAUGGAUGAAAUGUAUUGCAUCCGCUCGAUUUCAUUGUAUAAGCAAAAACCAUCUAGCACUCGUCCCUCAUGACAGAUCUCCCUAAUCAUGGUACUACAAGCAAUGCCACUAGGUUUAGCCCCACUUACUAACAUUUUCCUAAAGAGCUUCUCUGCCUCAUUGAGUCUAUUAAUCCUAAUCAAAGCCAAUACAAGAGAACUGUAGCAAUCACUAUUGGAAACACCACGUCCGGCAACUCUAUCGAUCAACUUAUAUGCUUCUUCGACAUGUCCCUCGGUGCAAAGACCCGUGAUCAAAGUAAUAACAGUUAUACGGUUAGGAACACACUGGCAAGCUUCCAUUCUAUCCAAAAUCCUCAAUGCCUCUAUUGUUUGACCCUUCUCACAAAAGCUUUUAAUCACAGAUGUAUAUGUGAUUACAUUUGGACUACAAUUCCCACCUGCUUUCUCCAUCUCCCCUAAUAAUUCCAAUGCCUUUUCCGUACUCCUGUACUUACAAAUACCCUCGAGAAGCACGGAAUAAGUCACAGCAUUUGGAGAAAACCCUUGCCCCUUCAUAGCCUGAAACAACUCACAAGCCUCCUCCAAUCUACCAGCAUUACAGAACCCCUUGAUCAUUGCAAAAUAAGUCAUCAUAUCGGGAUAAAGAUCAAUCAAGCCAAUCUCUUUCAUCAAUUUAUGAGCCAUAUCCAUAUCCCCUUUCUCGCAAAGCAGCCUGAUAACCACAUUAUAAGCAGUAGUAUCCGGACGUAAAUUAAAUUCAGGCAUUUUCCUCAAUAGCAACAAAGCUUCAUCGGCAAUAUUAGCUUCUUUACACAAAUUCAAAACAACCUUAAACAUUUUAAGGUUAACUGAACACUUUUCCAUCCUGUAAGCUUUGAUAACAUCCAAAACAAGAAAUGGGUUUUGCUUAAUUUUCAAAAAUCCAGCAGCUUUGUUGUACAUAUAAGAACUAUACCUACAAUUUGAUUGAAGACCUGCCCAUAUGAAAAACCUUAAACCUAUUUGAGAUAGAGAUAUAUCAAAAGAACAUCUUUUUAACACCUCACAAACACAGUUUGGGUCCAAUUUGGCAUUGACUAAAGCUAAGGUUUUCUCUAUAUUGCUUUGGUUUUUCUCUAAAAGAGUGAAAAAUUUGUCGGCAGAGGAGGCCGAUCUGAAUUGAAGAUUGAAAAUUUUGCUUUGUUUAGUGUGAAUUGAAAGUGAAAUCAAUCUAGAGAGUGAAGCAAUUGGCAUUGCUUUGUGGGGGAAUUUAGUGUCUUUGCAAGAGUUGAGGUUGAACAAAACAAUGAGGUAAAAUCUUACGAGAUUGUUUCCGAAUGAAGUUGGAUAAGUUUUGGCAAGAAUGAGGCCAGGUGUACCAAGUUGUUCGAAUGUGGCCCAGUACGGUGGCAUCAACUCAUAGCCAGGCAACCAUAACCUCAUAUAUGGCCCUGCAUUAUAACGAUAGAGCAUUAAGGUAACUCACAAUUACGUAUGAUUUUCAUUUUAUUAAAAACAUAACAGUAUCAAGCAUAUAUCCGUAUUUGAUGUUCAAAUAUGAGUCCGGUGUGUAAAAGCGGAAACACGACAUUUCCUAAAAAUAUUACCAUAUUAGCACAAGUCAGUGAUGGCUAAGCUUCUAUUACAUUGAAAGAUUGUUAAAUCGAAACCUGCAGUUUUAACACAUUAACUUCAUCAAAGUGGAAAAGCAAAACCGAAUUUUAUAAAAAUUAUAAUCGGAAACGAAAUUCACUUUGACGGAAACCGGAAUAACAACUGAGUUUAGUCGGUCGGUCCCGUCGGUUAAUCAUACCGAAAAAAUAUCAUGAAAAAAGCUGUUUUUUUUUUAAUUUACACAAACCAUAAUGAAAGUAAAUUUGUAGUAAAUAAUUGAAUUUCCCAUAAUUGAUCGCAACAAAAAACUCAAUUUACAACCAUAAUUAAUUGGAAAGCUAAUCGAAAGUCAUAAGCUACCUGUUUCAUCUGGCUACUACUUCAAAGGACUACCAUAGAAUUUCGAAAUGGGCCAAAACUAAUUUUAGGGUAAAAGAAAAGUAGGCGAUGAGCAAGACGACAAAGUUGAACAUCAAUAGAUUAAAUAGUUUUAAAAUAAAGAUUGAACAGCUAUAUACAGUAGAUUAAAUGUGGCAAAAGCCAAAAAUAACUUACAGUGGCCGGUGACGAGGCGUUUUCCGAUGAGCAAGGCGGCAACCGAGGUCAGAGAAAGGUUGAAGGCGAUGAGCUGUUACCCACCGGCGUUGGGUUUGCUGGUUCAGUUCAAGGCUGUUCACCAUAGAUUUAGGCUUUUAUUUUUAAUUCGUUUAAUUUUUUUCUUUUUUAAAUGAAUUAAAAUUUGUAUUUGGGUUUUUUAGUUUUUAGAAUUUGUAUUGGGCUUUAAUUUUUAUAGCUUGGAUCUUGUGUAUAAUGACUUUAUUUGGGGAUUGGAAAAUGAGUAUGAUAUUUAUAUUUUAAAAAUAUAUAAAAUUAAUAAGUUAUAUUAAUUCGAAUUAGAUUUUAAAAUCGAUUGACUUAAAAUAAUUGAAUUAGUCUCUCAAAUCGAUCUGAAAUUAAAAUUGAUUUAAUUGAAUUAAGUGAAUCAAAUUUAAUCGAUUAAUUCGAUUUUAACCAAGUUUUCAUCAUCUUUAAAUUAAGUGAAAGUAUAUAUGUAAAAAUGUAUACUAUAUUUCAAACACAUAAAAGAGUUGGUAUCACGAGUCAACUGGACGCUAACUUAAGUGAAAAUACCCUUACUUUACAAAGUAAAUUGUAUUAUUUUAAGGAUGUUUUUGUCUUUCUACAUCUUUUAUAUAGAAAAAUGUAUACAUAUAAUAAGACUUUAACUUGUGUAUUUAUAGUUUCAACAUUUAUACUUUACAAUUCAACCGAAGUCUCAUUUACUAUAUUAAUUAAUUAUAAAUAUAUUUAUUAAUAAUAUUAUGUUUUUCGUCUACGUGGUUGUGUCAUAAUCUAGUAAUAAUAGUAAAUAAAGUUUAUGCAAUUUAGGUUAAGUGAGUCACAGUACACCCAUCUCUUUACGCGCAUUUCGUUUUUAUCCCAAAGCUUUAAACUCAGCACGCAGUCCUAGUCGUUCGCCGCAAUACUUCGCUUUUCUUCAGUGGUUUCUGGCAUUGAUUUUGGUUUCAAUAUGUUCCCCUUAAUCUCCUGUCUACUAUUCUAGGAUUAUAUUCCAACAUCAUUGGUUUUCUCUAAUCUAAACUCAAAGUUUUGGUUGGCGUGCUUUCGGUCUCCCUCGCACACUGUUAACUACAACUCAAAUCUUAUAGUAGUCACUUUGAGCUUUCCAAAUCUAGUUUGACUAAACUUGGGUCAAUGAAGCAUUUCACCAACGCCAUUCACUGCUCGACCUUCUCAUGAAGCCAACGACUUGUUCCUUCUGUUCUCAUGAAUUGUAGGUUUUAUGUUUUCCCUAAUUUUUAUUCCUUGUUGGAUUGCAUUGUGUCACGGGUCAAGACUUUAGCUCCGAUCAUGUGUGACUUUAGAUUCGACUAAGUAAGCCCCAUUCAAUCCAACGGUUACAAUUGAUUACAAUAAAUGGUCAAUAUCACAUUCUAGAACUUUCCCACUUAACUCCAUUAAAUUCUAUACAUGAACGGAUAGUUCUAGAGCUUCCAAAAAUAUUCUACAUGGUUCUAAAGUCUUUCGGGGCACUUCGGGAAUCUUGUGGCUCAAUAGUCUCGUGUUUGCUCGAUUUCGGGCUUGAUAAGGCCUUGCUCACUCACGAAUCAUGACACUUGGAUUAGUUUCCUUGCUUUGUCUCUAUUUUUUUUUCAAUUGCAAACUAGGAAAUCAAGAAAACUACUAGGUUUGUGCUAGGGAAUUUGCUUCAAGGGUAGGCAUUUCAACCCUUAAGGUUCUUUUGGAAGGGUAAGGAUGAAGGUAAAAAUGGGCUAGACUGUGUUAACCAAAGGUUUCAAAGAAUUUGACAUUCAAGAUUGUUAUAUUGCUACCUCGGCUUGGGCAUGUGGUAACAUGAGAAGCGAUUGAGGAAACACACAUGGAUGGCCUUCCACCUUAUAUCGUCCAUAUGAUUUCUCAAUGACCAAUCACCUGCAUGCUUCGUACUACCCAGGGGAAAGAUUAUCUAUCCUUAACCACUCGAUUGGAACCUUCGUUAGGCCACCCGCUAUUAGCUAGUGCACUCUCCUCAAGAGGAGACCUUCGAGUGGUGUAAUUGGACAGGAGAACUCCUACCUAUAAAUACCACAAGAUACAACAUAAAAGGGAUCUUCUUCUUCCUUCUCAUAAACCCUAAAUAACAUACUAAGCCCUUAGUCUCCUCUUAUUCCCUCACUUUUCCAACUCUUCACUUGUUUAGAUUAACCAACCUCCUUCGCUCCACCACCUUCUCCACCAUAUUUCCUUGUUUGUUGAUAUAUUGUAUCAACAAAUAUAUUUAAAAUAAAUAAAAUAUAUAAAUAUAUGAAGUUUGUUAAGUUGAUUGGUUCAAUUAUGAAUAUUAAUAACCUUAAACUGACUAACUUAAUCAAAAGCAUGUGCCAACUAAUUUAAUAAAAUACACAAACCCGAUAUCGGUUUAACCGAAUGAACCAAUUAAAUCAAUAAUAUUCGAUUUUUGCUUACCCUAUGUAUCCAAAGAGAAAAGAAAAUCGAUUUUCAUCCAAUUUUUUUAUUCGCUCUGCCUACCAUGCGGUGAAGGUUGAACUAUAGAAAGAAAAAAAAAACCAUGCCCUUUCCAAUUUCAAAAUCGAAAAUUUUUCAAUCAAAGUACCAUAAAAGCUCAUGUAGUAGAAGUUAAAUUGUGUUUUGUCCCUUUUACUUAAAAAAUUAAAAAAUUAGUCUCUAUAUAUUAGGGCAAGGAACAAAUUGGUCCUUUUAGCUAAAAAGUUCAUCAAUUUUUAACAAUAGAAAUGGAUAAAAUUUUUAACAGAGGACUAAUUGACUCUUUAAUCUAAUAUAGAUUAAUUUGGUUCUACUACAGGGUCAUCCACGAUACAUUUACCAAAAAUUUUCUCAUAUCACAUAGGUUUCUUUUUGGUUUAUAUCACAAGUGUCCUUAUUCGAUAUGAGAUUAGUUUCGCUCGGGUUAAGAAUGGAUUCGAGUAAAGCCCUCUCAAUAAUGAGAAUUCUAAAAAUCGAACUUAACCUAAAUUACCGACGGAAAAAUCCACUCUUUCCAAGCACUUGUUAAUACGGUUUAACAAUAUAUUUAGACAAAAAUAAUAAUAAUUGAAAUAAUCUACAUUCUUCUUAUGAUACAUCUGUGAUUUCAUAUCCGUUUUGUAAGAACUGGUUGGCGUUUAUGGUGUUUGGUUGCUGUUUUUUGUUCCAUAGUUGUCUUCUUUCUUUGUAUAUGUACUGAAUUACGGCUUUUUCCUCUUCUCAAAUGCUCCUUUCAAUACUGUCAUCCCACCCUAUCUUUCAAAUUCUAUUGCCUUUCUUUCUCUAUCUUCUAUUAUAUAUAGUAACUUGUCUCUGUUUCCCAAAUCUUUGUUGGCCAUUGUAGCUUAAACAAAAGCUCAACACCCGAGGUUUUAAGAAAAAAGGUUUGUUUUCCUUUUCUGCCUUCUCUUUUUUCCUUUUUGUCAUUCGCUUCUGCAUUAACUUACUUGUCCUUCGAUCGUUACAUCAUUUCAACAGACUGUGAUAUAUCGCCCGCCCUUAUAAUAUUAUUACCACUCUCCUCUUCCGUUAUAAAAAGUAUCCAAAUUUUGCCAUCGUUUUCUUCAUCAAAAUGAGCCAUAGUUUCAUAUUUUCCCUUCUUCUUCUCUUGAUUUUAAGCUCAACCCAACUGAGAUACAAAGCUGAAGGUAACUUUUAAUCAUCUUUUUCAUUAGGCAAUUUUUUCUUGCUUGCUUACUUUUGUUUCUGCAGGUAGAUCAAUACCAAAAUCCGAUGAAGAAAAGGCGAGGUUAAGAGCACAGAUAGGAUCAAGGCCACCAAGGUGUGAGAGAAGGUGCAAUUCAUGCGACCAUUGUGAAGCCAUUCAAGUGCCUACCAAUCCUCAAAUCUCCCAUGUUGCUUAUGCAAGAGGUGAUGGAAGCUCUAACUACAAACCCAUGAGUUGGAAAUGCAAAUGUGGCAACUUCAUCUUCAACCCUUAGCUCAUAAAUACAUAUAUAUUUUAGGUUCUUAAAUACCCAUUUUUGAACCAUGUAAGUAUUUUUCUUUUUUUGCUUGUGAGAACAUAUUAGAACUCCAUUGUGAAAUUUCUUGAUUAUCUGAAUCUUUAAAAAGAAAAUGAAUCUAUAGUACUUGCUGUUGCUGUGGGGCGUGUAUUUGUACUGGUAUAUACGUACUAAGAUACGAUUUCUUGGGCAAAUCGUUAUGACGUUGGGAGGAAGGGGGGUCUAGAAAUUAGUGUAAAGUAUUUACUUAAAAAGUAGACAAUGAUUUUUGAGUUGGUAUAGUUUCACCAUACACGCCAUCGUGUCUGGUUUUGGUGUCAACUAUUGUCGAAAAAUGCGAUAGGAAUUGAAGUGAUCAGAGAGGGUAAAGGAAAAAGCUUAAACUGUUCUUUUAAUGGCAGAUUCCAGUUGUUUUUUCUUCUUAUUGCCUCUCUUCGUUGCUUACUUGGCGUGUAAGGAAUUACAUAGUAACGAUUCCGUUUUCCUUGAAAACUUACUUGAACAGUCAGCUCGCCUGGUUUCGUUAACAUGACAAAACAUACAUGGGUCUAAAACCAAAACAACUUUUAGGAUUUAAUCUAAUUGUCUGAAUUGAUUAUCAAGAUUGCUCCGUUGGUUUAUUUCAUUGUUUCAUAAUGAUUAAUUCGAUUUUUUAAGUAUUUAAAUUAGAUUAAGUGCAAUUUUCAGUAAAAUAAACCAAUCCAUUUAAUCAACUUUUCUAUUUUUUUUAAAUAUGUUUAUAAUAUAUAAUUUUUUUGGGUAAAUAAAGGUAGUAGACACUAUUAUAAAUAACAAUCCCUCUAAAUCAUCAUGUAUUAACUCCAAAACAUGAUCAGUUAGUUACAAGAAUUUGUAAAACCUUAGCUCUUAUCAAAAGAUUUAUUUAAGUAUCCGCAACCUUAUUACCUUCUCUGUUGACAUGUGGUAUCUUCACUUCCCAUUGGUUUUGAAUCAAUUGUUUAACAUCUCAAGCCACUGCAUACUAAGGUACAUCUUACGUAGAGUUCUGCAACAUUUGGAUAGCAUCUAAGUUGUCCAUCUCAAGAAUCACCUUCCUAAUACCCAUACUCCAAGUUUGUCGUAGACUAUUAUAAGCUUCCCACAGCUCAACUUCUACAAUUGAGCAUAUAUCAAUCUUUUGGACAAAUCUUAUCUUCCAUUAUCUCGUAUGAUCUCUAAUAAUAUAUAAUUUUUUAACUAAACUUUUAUUGCUAUUUUUAUAUCUCUUACAAUCAUAUUUGGAAGGAAAUAUCAAGAAGAAAAUCAGCUCAAUUUACUUAACCCGCCUAAGAAUGAAUGUUGAGCUUAGAUAAAUUAAGAACUAAAUUAAUCUUACAAAGUUAAUGAAUUAUGAAUACGAGUUGAAUAGUUUAAGGUAUGUUAGACAUUAUUUUUAGGAAUAUUUAUUUAUAUUUUAUAAGAUUUAACAAGUUUUUCUAUCAAUAUAUUACACGCGGAAAAUUCAUCAUCUAAACUCCUAAUGAUGUACAAUGACUUGUAAAUAAGGGUGUCAAAGUUUUCUUUAAGUAACGUGAAAUUUUGUUUUUACAAUUAAUCUACCUAUGAGAUUAGCUAGUUAAAUCGAUUUGUUUUCAUUUUUCAACUAGACAGAUAAAGGUCUUUGCCACCUUAAAAAUGAAAAUUUGUGAUUUAAUCCCUCUGUAAAUGAUAAAUUAUAAAAUUACAUUUUAAAUUUAAAAUGAAAAAAGAUCUAUUUAAUUCCUUUAAAAAUGAUGAAAUCUUAAGUUAAUACAUUAUAAAAAUUAUAAUUCGAUUCUAACACCUAAUAAGUUUCUAGAUAUGACCAUAUACCCCAACCAUUAAAUUGGUCUUUCACAAAUUCUCGUAGAUAAAAUAAUAUUGCAGAAACCAUAUUAACCAAUUAUUAUAAACACAAAUCAAGCAAAAGGAGUAGCUUAAGUUAAGACCCAUCAAAAACAACGUUUUGGAUCCAAUAGAGAGGAGUAAAAAUCCUCAACAAAAUAUACUAAAGAAAAAAUAAACAAUAGAGAGCUGUUUCUAUACAAGAGGAAAUGAAAAGACAGAAGAGAGAAAAAAAAAAAGGAACCAAUCAAUCAUGGUGAUGAUGAAGAAGAGCUGAGGAUAAGAGUUGAUGGGAUAUUUCAUUAUCAUAUUGUAUGAUUAUUUUUUCCAUCUAUGGGUUUUUUUUAAAAAAAAAACUUUGUUUUACGAAGUGAAAUUCGCUAUACUACAAAAUUCAUGCAUAGAUCUUUCACGUAGACAUGACUAAACAAAGGGUUUUCCUUGCAUAUAGGUACGAUUUUCUUUGUUUUUUUUGGGGGGGAGGGGGGGGGUUAAAAUCAAUCAUAUAAACAGUGGGAGCAAAGGAAAAUAUACUGAAUGACAGUAGCUAAUGGAUAGGCAGACAAGGUGCUGUUGCAGCAAACAAGUAAUGGGGUCAAUACCUAUAUGGGUGCUCUUUGUUGGCUCAAGUUUGGACAGUAAACAUAUACGUUUGUACAUGUAAAUUUUGGAAAUCUAUUAUUCUAUUUUUAGGUCAAUUGUAGCAUACAUCUAGAAUAUUGAAUUGGUUUUCAAUUAUAUUUGAGUUUUUUUUUUAAUUACAAGAGGAGGGCAAAGUCUUAACAGGAACACGUUUUAAACUCAGGCCAUGCUUGAGGUGAUGAACACUCUGAUCAUCAGGCCAAUACACGGGAUAAGUUUAGAUGUUGAAUGUUAAUUUGAAUUUAACAUGAAUUAUAGGGUUUAAAUUUUGAUUAAUGGGGAGUCAACAAUGGGUAUUAAUAAUUGAUCUCUUAUGUUGUUGUCAUCCAUAUAUUUUAAAUAUGCUUCACAUUAAAUCAAAACUAAUAUUUAAUGCCUGAGCUAAAUGGCUUACUUGAUGUGAUACUAAUAUUUUAAAGAUUCAAUUAAAACUUUUUAUAAUUUAUGAACUAAUUUAAAAUAUGGAUCGCUAAUGUCUUCAUUAGAUGGAGAUAGAUUGAAGAUUAGUUCUAAGCUUCAGGUUUAUAAUAGAGUUUAUGUUCUGGGAUAAUCUCUGAUGUUUAAGUCAAUGGAAGAAUGACGAUGAAAGUUUGAAAUAAUGUUGUUAAGUGUAUAUGUAGUGGUAAACAUGUUUCUUCUUUAUCCUUGAGCCCCUAGCUGUGUCUAUAGUCAUUGUUCUUGAAGACAAACGAAGAUUAUAUUUAACUCUUUGUUGAAGAUUAUAAUUAGUUGAAGUAUGCGUCCUUAAUUGGAUAAGAUUAUAUUUUUAACUCUUUGUUGGGUACAUGCAACUUAGUCAUCACAUCGCACAUAUAUAUGCACUUGAGAGAUAAGGGGCCUUCCAAGCUAUUGUUUGUGAGAGCUCGAGGCUUUAGCUCUCGACUAAUAUAACUAACGUUAUAAUUUGAGGAUCACCGAUGAAUUAAUCAUUUACUUUUUUCAAAUUUAUUAAAAUAUUAUUUUAUAAAAUAAUUAUUUCCAUCCAUUAUAUAUUGAUUUAAAUCAUGAGUUAAUGUCACCUUUGACCCAUAAACAAUAAUAAUCACACGAUUAAUUCUGAUAAUUACGUCUAUAAUUGUGAUGUAUAAACAUAAUGUGAUAUUCUUUAUGGCAAUUUAAAUUCCUAAGAUGAAGUGACAAAUGACAUAUUUCCAUAACAUAGAGAAAAAUACUGACGGUACAAUAUGCAAAUUCCAGUGGCAAACUUUGCAUCAAUUUAUUAUAUGACUAUAUUUUUGGUACAAAUAAAAUUUAUAUUACAUUUUAAAAAAUUCACAGAAAUCCAAUUCUCAAUAUACGAUAAUGGUUUUUUUUUUUUUAAACCUAGAUUAUUCACUACAUGUAGUAAGGCUUAAUUUUUUUACAGUAAAUAUUCUCCGAAUAAGUAAAUGAAUAAUCAUAAAAAUUGUGACGCUUUUAUUCCUUGUCGAUUAAAAUAAAUUUAUUUAAUUAAAAUGGUAAUAUAAAUUUAGAUUAAGGAAUAACUUACAAGGAUGAUCUUAAAAAUUAAGGUUUUUAGAUAUAAAUAAAUUUUGUCACAUCAUUAAAUUUUAAUGUUAUAUACACUCAUCUAUAGAACAAUUAUUUUAUGAACCAUUCUCAGUACCACAUGAUUCAUGGUCCAUUUCCAAUUAUUUAACAAUAUUUUAACAAAUUUUUCCAUGUCAUUGACACAUAAUUUUGGUAAUUUUUUACAUUGAAUCUAGAUUCCUGAACCCUGAUGUAAUAACCCGAUUUUAGGCCUAGUCGGAACAGUGGUUUCGGGACCACAAAUCCGACGAGAAAAAAAAUGUAAUGGCCUGAAUUUUCAGAGGUGUCGGAACGGUGAUUUGAGAUCACAAAAUUUGACAAAUGGGUAGAAAAUAUUGUUAAUUUAGUAAGUAUAAGUUAAAUGUGAAGUUAGGAAAAUUUUUGAAAUAGUGAAUAGUGCACUAGAAAUAAAUAUUAAAAUAAUUAGAAUCGAAAUGAGGUAUCAAGACCUCGGGGAUUUUAAACCGAGCCAUAAAUAUUUUUAUAAAUAUUUAUGGAGUGUCAAAAAGUUAGUAUUAAAGUUUCGUUAAGAAAUUUUAAAGUUCUGAUAAUUAAUUGAACAAAAAGGACUAAAUUGUAACAAAUGCAAAAUUUUGGGAAAUGAUUAAAUAGCUUAAAUGAUAAAAGGAAGAGGGCUUAAAAGGAAAAUAGACCCAAGGUCUAUUUGGGCUGGACGGCAAAGGCAUGAAAUCAGCAAGAAAGUAAGAAGAAUUAAGGGCAAAAUUGGAAUAUUGUAAAAUUUGCUUAAUAAAGUUAGGACCAAAGUGGAAUUAUCUAGAUUUCUCUUCAUUUUUCUGAAUUCUCAUCAGCUAAAACACCAUGGAAGGGCUUCUUCAAGCUGGUUCUUCAUAUUUUUAUUACAAGUAAGUUCAAUUCUUGACUAUUUCUUGAAAUUUUUGUAUUUUUAUGACUUUUACAACUAGGCCCACUUGUUAAAUUCAUUAGUUUUUGAUUUUAUGAAAGAAGUUGAAAGUUGAUAUGAAUAUGUGCUGGAAUUAUAUGAUGAUUUAUCAUGAAAUUAGAGCUUUAAAUUGUUCAUAUGCUGAUUUUAUUGAAAGAAUUGAAUAGAAAGUGAAUGUUUGGGACCUAAUAGUAAAAGAGUUUGAAUAUAGAGUUAUAUGUGGAAAUUCUGAAUUUAAGUAGUUGUGUAACAACUUAUAAUGUCUAGGUAAAGUAUUAAUUGAGAAAAUUAGAUUAAUUGAGGGGUUAAUUGAGAAAGGACCGAAUUGUAUAAACUGUGAAAUUUGGGGCAAAAUGGAAAUCAACAUUUUGCACUAAAGCAGUUUUGGACAGCAGCAGUAGUGUAACUUUGAAAAAUCACCAAAAAUUGUAGAGAUUGAAUUAAAGGAUGAAUAAAAUAUGAAACUAAAGCUUAUUGAGUCUAGUUUCUUAUAAAAGAAACUAUGUGAGCAAUAGAAUUGUAAAUCAUGAGAUAUAAUAGAUUUUGUGAGACAAGGUCAGAAUGAAUUCGGGUUCCCCUGUUCUGACUUUGGAAAAUCAUUAAAAAUUGUAAAAAAAUGAUUAUGAGUUAUAAUUUAUAUGGUUAGAAUCCUUAAUGAGUCUAUUUUUAUAAAAAACAAACAAAAACAUCAUCUGAGUUCUGUACAAUGAGAUAAUUAAUUUUUAGUGAUGAGUGGUCGGAACUGUCAGACAGCGAAACAGGGGAAAAUUUAAAGAAUAAACUGUACUAUUUGACUGAACCAAAAAUUCUGAAAAUUUUAUGGUAUGAAGAUAUGUGAGUCUAGUUUCAGGGAAAAUUAACGGAUCUUAAUUUGGAGCUCUGUAGCUCUGGAUAAAAAUAAUUUAGUGACUCUGACUCGGAUAAACAGUUUUGAAUAUACAUGUGAGUGAAUAGUGAAAUUAUAGCUAAUGUUGUUUAAGUGUGUUAUACACAUUAAGGAUGUGGAAUGGAGAGGAGGAGGAGGAAAAUUGGGAAAUAUUUGAAUGAUUUGUGUAUAAUUGGUCAUGGUUUAAGCUCAUGUGUGAAAAUAAAAGUUUCAUAGUAUGUGUGUAUGGUAUAUUCGGUAUAUGAUUUGGCAUGAAAUAAUGUCAUGAAUGGUUUAUGAAUUAACACAUGUUGGUAAGCCUGAUACAUGAAUAAAUGUUGUGCUCAUCCAUGCUUAUAAUGCUUAUGCUAUACGUGUAUUUGGCUAACAUAUUUGGUGUAUAUGCUUAGACUUUGGCCAAGUAGUGGCUAGAUUAUGCCACGUUAAAUUUAUAAGUUAUGCAUUGAAAUGGUUUAUCGUGUGGUUAGUUCCAAAAAGAGUCAUGUUUAAAUACACUAGCUUGCAACUAUGGUUGAAUGAUAUGCUUAUAUCUUGUGUGAUGUGCAUAGAAACAAGUGUGGAAAGAUAAUGAAAUAAUAAGUUCAUAUGGCUGAAAUUUAAUGAUUAAAUGUUAAUUUCAUGAAUUAUACAAUGUAUGAUGAAAUGUAUUCAUUUUUGAAAUGAGAGUAAAAUAAAAAUGCGAAAAUCGAAUAAAUGAUCAAAUUAAACGGAACGCCGGAUUUGAGUACUUCUGAUCAAGAGAUAAAGUGAUAGGUGGUAGCUUUAGCUACACUUAUCUGAUCAAGUGAAAAAGUGAUAAGUGCUACACUUAUCUGAUCAAGAGACAAAGUGAUAAGUGGUAGCUUUAGCUACACUUAUCUGAUCAAGUGAAAAAGUGAUAAGUGCUAUACUUAUCUGAUCAAGUGAAAAAGUGAUAAGUGCUAUACUUAUCUGAUCAAGUGACAAAGUGAUAAGUGUUAGCCUUAGCUACACUUAUCUGAUCAAGUGAGAAAGUGAUAAGUGGUAGCCUUAGUUACACUUAUCUGAUCAAGUGACAAAGUGAUAAGUGUUAGCCUUAGCUACACUUAUCUGAUCAAGUGACAAAGUGAUAAGUGGUAGUCUAGCUACACUUAUCUGAUCAGGGACAAGUGAUAAGUGAUCAUACGUAAUACCAUAGUUAUACUAUGGCAAAGUGAAAGUGAAGUACUCAAUUUUCCGUAACCGUUCCCUAAUUUGAUUAAGGAUGGUAAGUGACAAAUGGACCCAAAAGAAUUAAAGUAAAUGGAUAAGUGGUAGUGUAUUUAUAUCAGGACGAUGUUGUUAUUCAAGCUAAAGUGAUAUUUUCAUUGCAAAAUUGAGAAUUUCAUAAAUGUGUUAUUGAAUGGUAUAAUCAAUAAACAUUGAGUUAAAUGGUAAAUAUGUAUCAGUGUUGAACUUGAUGUCAUUGAAUUGUACGUGAGUUAAAUGGAAAUUGCUAGUGAUAUGAUCUAAAUUGUGAGCAUGAGAAAUUGCGAAUUGAAGGAAAUGGAAAUGAAGCAUUGAAUUGCAUGAGUAUGUAUCGGGUCUCGUAAGCCCUAAUUAUUAUGAUUAUAACAUUUUGAGGAUAUAUUGUGAAAAGUUAUAGGAGCAUGUUAAUUAUUUUGAAAGUUAAUUUAGAUGAAAUUUUAUAACUCGGUUAAAUACGUUUACAAGUGCAUGUGUUUUGGUAAUGUCUCGUAUCCUAUUCCGGUAUUGAAUACGGGUAAGGGGUGUUACACCUGAACUCAAAACCUAGAACCUCAAACCCUAAACUCGUAGCCCGUAACCUCAAACCUAAACCUUAAAUCUUGGGGUUUGGGGUUCAAGGUUUAAGGUUCAGGAUUCGAGUUCAAGGUAAAAUAAUUUUCAAAAUUAUGUGUCAAUGACAUGAAAAAAAAUUGCACAAAAAUUAUUACUUUUUAAAAAAAUGGUUGCACAAAAAUAAAAAAUGUUAACUUAUGGAAAAAAAUGAUUAAAUUUUGUAAAAAAAAUGUUUGUUUAUAAUUUAAAAAAUUAAAUAUUUUAAGUAAUUUAAUUAAAGUUAAAUUAAGUUGGAGAAGAUAUUGGAUAUAGAUAGUGUAUUAUAAUAUUUCGUUAUCUUUAAAAUUUAAUGACGUGGUACUAUUUUAUUGGUGCCUAAAAAUUAUGCUUUUUAGAAUAAUCCUAAUAUGAUUUAUUCCCAGGACAAUAUCAUAAACAAUAUAUGUAUGAUUAAUAAGUACAAUUACAGUUAUAACCCUAGUAUAAUUACAAUACGAAUUACAAAUAAUAUAUAACCAAUCAAUUUAAUGUAAAAUAUAAUAGACUAAAACCUAAAAUAUUAUCUAGAUUUAAACGAGAAUAAAUCUUAACAAAAUCUAGACAUAAUAAACUUAAAUCCAAAAUAAUCUAAAAAAAAAAUCCGUAUCUCAAUUUCUACCAUAGUAUAAAAACUUUAUUAGGUUUUAAAAAAUUAAAUCAAUUAAUUUGCUAUUACUUAAAUAAGUUGAUUAUAUUAGUGUAAUGUAGUUUAGAUUUUGUCCAAUUAAUUAUGAAAGAACAAAUGUAACUUAGGAAAAAUUGAAAUGUUUGAAAAUCUUUGAGAUAUAUUCUCGAUUGGUAAAGGUGGAGAGUUGAAUCAUAAAACUAUGAUUUUAUAUUCUACUCCAUGAGGCCUUUACAACAGUAUAUCAUAUGCUCAAAAUGGUUGAGUAAUGAAUGAGAAAUUGAUAUUCAAAGCAAGUUACUUGUGAAUAUUUGUUGAGGAAAAGGAAAGCUUGGAUUCCACAUUGGUUAAAUACCAAGUUAAUAUGUGUGUAUAUAUGAGAAUCCACUUGAAGGGUGAUUGAAUGACUAAACUUGAAAUUUUACUUUGCGCGUAAAAAGGGUGCAAAUCUAAACACAUCGGAGUUAGGAUACAUCUGCACGACGUAGGCGACACAAAAUGUCCGAACCGAUCAAGCUAAUAUUGAGUUUUCGAAUAUUUUAGUUCAACAUGAAAUUUAUUUUUCUCAGCAAAUAUAUACAAAAUAUGAUUUAAAAUGACAAAUAUCCUGAUUUUAUUUGAUUUGAUUCCAAUUAAAUUGAUUUAAUUUCUCCUUUAAUACAGAUUUUGAUAUUUAUUCCUCCAUAUUGAAUACCUAUAAAAAUCUAAGAAUUCUUUAGAAUUUUUUGGACACACUCUCUCUCACAUCGAGUUUAUUUUGCUAUCCAGAAUUCUUCUCUUUUCCUCUCCAUAUUUUCCAAUGUUUUCAGUUAUAGAAGAAGGCAAUGUUUGUUCGUUGAUCACCACCGAGGUAUUAUUGCUUUGAUCAUCGUGUUGUUGUAUCCUAGGAGAUAGUCGAUCAACGUUUCUCCAAGUAUCGUAGGAACUGCCAAAUCUGUCUUUAGGAAACUAUGUAAAACAAGCAUCAACAUUUUAUAAAACUCGAUUCUUUAUUCGAUUUCUGAUUUUUCAUGAUCAUAUUUAUUUAAUUUAUUUUUCAUAUUUGGUAUUUUAAAUAUAAAUAUUUAUUUAUAUUCAUAUUUGUUGACUAACUAUUUUGCUACAUUCAGUCACCACAACAUGUGAAUAUUUAUGUCUAAAUACAGUGAUGUUUUUAAUAAAAAGAGAUUGAGCAAAUCAACCAAUUGAUAUUUUAUUAAAACUUUUUUAUUCUUAUUGCAUGUUCUAUAAAGCCACAUUUUUCGCUUUUAGCUGUGAGUUGCAUCAGGUCUAUUUAUUGUGUGACGUGUUAAUUCACAUGUUAUUUAUCAGUUAAUAAUACUUAUAAUAAAUUUCUUAACUGAUUUACAGAAUAUAGACGAUUAGUUAUUAGGUUCGUUCGAAUAAUUACUUUAAAAAAAUAUGUCGUUAGUCCUCAUACUCUAUAGAAUUUAAAACUUAAUCCUGUUAAAAAUUUACUUAUUUUACUUUUUCAAUUAAAAAAUCUUAGUUCAAUCAUUUUUGUCGUUGAAAUCUAUUAGUAUAAUAUGUUUAUUUUUCGUCAAUCAUAUACCAUGUUGCUUAAAAGGCAACCUAAUCAAUAUAGCAAAUUAACAAUUUUUUUGGAAAAUAUUUACAAUUUUAAUGAUUGUCUAGGAAUUUUUAAAUAAAAAAUAUAUGAACUAAAACUUAAAUUUUAUCAAAGUAGAGGGACUACAUAUUUUAACCAAUAGAUAAUAUUCAUACCAAUUACACUAUAAGCAUAAGUGAUGAAAAUUUGAACAAAGCGAAACUAAUCCGAAAAGGAGUUAAGAUCCGCUCUUACUUUUUCAUUUAUUAAUAUUCAAUACAAUGAUCAUCGCCAUUUAAAUGUGUAAGACCCAUGUAGGACUCAUCUAUUAAAAAUGAAAAUCAACAUGUGAACAAUGAUCAAAUAUGCAUGGAUAUUAAUGGAUAAAAAAGUAAUAGAGUGGAGUCAAACCUUUCGAAUAGAACAAGACAAAACCGACACAUAAUGAAAAUUGGACCCACAUAUCGCAAUUAUAAAUUGUACGACUUGAACUUGGACCUUCAAGGUUUGGAACCUUAACGUUUGCUAACUAUGUUAAGGCCUCAUUGGUUAUAAUUGACAUUAUUUUUAUUUGCUCACUUUUAAAUAAUAGGUUUAUAAGUUUAAAAAAGCCCUUAAAAUGUAAAAAAAAAAUUAAUUAUUAAGCUCCUAUACUAAAUUCACACUCAAUUAAGCCCCUACCAUUAAUUAAAAUAAUCAAUUAAGCCCCUCCAUCAAAGAUUUUGUCAUUGACCACAUUGACCGUUAAAAUAAAUUGAUAGACCAAUCGGAUGGUAACACAUAAUAGCUUCUAGUUUAAUCUAAUAUUUUCUCAUAAAAAUAUUUAAAAAUUAGAAUAAAAAUUAUAAAAAUAAAAUUAUUAAUAUUAAAUUUAUAUAAACUUCUAAAAAUUAUAAAAAAAUAUAUAAAAAUAAUAAAUUAUAAUAAAAUAAUAAAAUAUUUUUUAAAAAUAUUUAAAAUUUUAUAAAAAUUUUAAAAAUCAUAAAAAUUUGAAUUGGACCGGAUCAGUUUAUUGGACAGAUUAGACUGAAAUCGACAAAGAUAUCGGUACAGAGAAAGUUAUUAAACUGAUUAACUUAGGAAUUGGACAAUUGAAACGAUUUUUUAUUUAUUUAAUGGAAUCGGAUGGAUCUAUCGAGCUGAUAAAUUAGUGAUUUGAUCGAUUCGGCUAUUAGUCCGAUUUUAAAAAUUUUAAUUAGAAUAUUUCAUUUUGAUAUAUAAUAAUGGUUAGAAAAAGAGAUUUUGAUACGAUAAUAAAAUUUAAAAACAUUAAAUUACCGAUCACCGACUUUAACAUAUGGGUGUUGACAUUUGACACGUGGCCUAAUUUGGGGGGAAAAAAGUGAAUAAUUUUUGUUUGAUGUUUCAAAUAAUGAGUUUAUAAUACUUACCACCUCCCGAUGUUGAGUUCUCUUCCAAAUUGACAGCGAUUGAUGCGGCCAACUCAGACAGAACGACACAGUUUAAUAUCUGUGUGCUUUUCACGCGCUUUUAAGAGUGUGAGCAAAAACAGAAAGAGUGAGAUUGGCAGAGAGAUGAUGAGUUUAAAUUGUCUAAUAUAUUUUUUGUUAUCUAACUAUAGUAUAAAUUCUAAAUUGGUCCUCACAUUUUAAAAUAUUCUAAUUGAAUCCUUAAACUACAAUAGCAUAUCAAUUAUGUCUAUGUCAACCUAGAAAUUAGCUUAAAUGUUAUAUUUAAAAUAAUAGAUCAAUUUAUAAAAAGACAUAUUUACAGUUUGAAUUCAUGUAUUUUAAAUCAAUUGACAUUUAUUGUCUAAAUAAACUGAAGGAUUUUGUUGAUAUAAUAUUAGUACUUUGAGUUGAUUGAGUCUUAGUUCAGUUGAUAUCGAUAUUAUUGUUAGUGUAGGAGGACAUGGGUUCGAGUAUGCUAAAGUGCAUUUAUCCUCUUAUUUAAGGGUUGGAUGGGAUUAUGAAUAGUUUUAGGUAUUGUAUAAAAAAUAUUAAUAUUUUGAGAUUUAUUUACAAUUGGAUCCAUGUAUCUUAAAUAUUCUUCACAUUAGAUCUAAACUAACAUUUAAUGUUUAAAUUAGCGAUUAAGUUGACAAAUUUUUUUUUUGGGGGUUGAGAUAAAAAGCUUUGAUUCAUACAAUAUAUACUUUGAUAUAGGAGUGCAGCGAGGGAGGCAUGCAAAGCCCUAGCCCUUCUAAAAUGAAAAUUUAUUGAUUUAGUCCCCUAAAAUUUACAAAAUCUUAAGUUAUAUUUUACCUCGUCCCAAAAUGCUAAUAUUUUGAUCUAGUUCUUUUGAAAACCAUAAAGAUAUAAGUCAACAUUAGAAUAAAUUUGUAUUUUAGCUCUUAUAAAAAAAUAUAACUUAAUCUCAGCCCCUAAAAAUAUAUAAGCUAAUAUUACGAUUGGGUCCACCUGUUUUAAAUAUUAUUCACAUCAAAUGUGAGCUAGUAUUUAGCACCUAAAUUGACAAUUAAGUUAACAUAAGGACUAAUUUAAAGUCUAAUCAAUCCUUUAAGGACUUUUGAUUAAUUAAUCAUUUUUAGCUAAAGAAUUUUUACACAAUUACCCAUGAUGGAUUCUCGAUCGAUCUAAAGUAAAGUUUUAAUCUUUAACUUAUAUAUUCAACUAAAUUAAUAAUUUUUAAUAUAAAAAAUACAAACUUUAAAUGUAAACAAAUUAUAUAGACAUUUAAUAAAAUGUAGACACUUUUUAAGAAGCACUCCAUAUGAACAUAUAUGUGGUGUUGAUAAAAAGGCACUGUUUCCACAUUUCCAGAUCCAAGUUCAUUCAGCCACCGACACUCAAAGUUUCCUAAUCUCGAAGUCAAGUUUUUUUCUGUCUUCUUUAAAAUUUUCCUGGAAACUUAACCAUUCUCGGGAUUUCCCAAGAAAAGUUAAAGUCUCUCCUUCGUUAGUUUUAGUUUCCUUUUGGGGGAUCAUUUGGAUUCUGGGUAAGUGUAUCAAUGCUUUCUGAAUUUAAUUUUCAAGUAUUAAAAAUGGGUUUGCUUUAAAAAUGCAAGCUGUUGAUCUGUUUCAGAUUAUAAUCCACUUUUCGAUCCUGCAUUUUAUUCUUUUUCCACUACCAUUACUGCAAAAAAAAAAGUUGCUGUUUUUUUUCUUUUCUGUUUUUGUGCUUUAUUAAUAGUGAUUUUUGUAUUUUUGUUAGCUUAAGGUCUAAUAUUUACUUCUUCUUUUUUUUUUUUGGAAUUUUCUCUUUGGAUUGGAUUAGUGUAAUUGUUGUUAUUAUUAGUAUGCUGGGAAGUGAAAAGUUGAAUUGAAUAUCAAUGAUUUUAAGUUUUGUUCAUAAUAAACUACUACUUGAAUAUUUAGUUCAUGGGUUGAUCUGGAUUUUUCAUUGCAUAAACACUGUCGAUUUGAUUUUUUGCAUUAAUUUCUUUCAUAUGAUUCAUUUUCGGCUUUAUUGCAAACUUCUAGUUGAUGAAAUGUUGUGGUAUUAUUAAGUUGAAUUAUAUGAAUAUGUCGGAUUUUGAAGAAUUUCGAUGUUUUUCUGAUGUUUUGCCGACAGGUUAAAUCGAAAGGAAGUCCGACAUGUUCCGGCUUUCACCUGGUAGGAACCAAAGAUCGAAAGGAUUGAAGGUGAAGCAUGCUCUACAAAUAUGUGUUCUUGUUGGUAUUUGCAUUUGGCUGCUUUACCAAGUUAAGCACUCCGGGGAGAAGAAAGCGAUUUAUGAGAAAUCUGGGAGCGAUGUUGUCAAGUUGGGGCGAAAAGACUUCCCUCGAUCGGAAGGGAUGACUGUUACAGAUGCACGGCAUAAGGAGGAAGAAGAGGAAGAAAGUAAGAAUGGAGAAGAAGAUAAUAAGCCUGAGGUAACCGAAGAUGAAGGAAAUGGGGAAGUCAGUGGGAUGCAUGAGCAUGAUAAUGAGAAACCCGAGGAGGGAACCGAGCAUGAAGAACGUAGGAACGACGAUAACGAAGAGACUAUGGAAAAUGAAAACAAAGGAAAUGAGGAGACUCGUGAAGGCGAUAAUGAAGAGAAAGAGAACAUCGAGGAUAGUCGAGAAAAGGAAAAUAAAGGGAUUGGGGAAGAGAGCAAUGAGACGGAGAAGAGUGAAGGUGAGAUAGAGAAUGCAGGUAGCUCGGAUGAUCGGGUUCGUGAUGGAAUUGAUGGGAAUAAUGAAGAAGCGAGAGAAGAACAUUACAAGGGGGAUGAUGCUUCAAGUGAAGUAGUCCAUGAUACCCAAAAUGAGACGAGUGGUUCAGAAAAUUCCAACGAGGCUGAGCAGUUGGAAAACAAAGAUAAGAAUGACCGGGAGGACGAAACAAAUAGCAGUGAAGCGGCCAAUGUCGGUCAUGAAGAGUCGAAUGUGCAAGAAAAUGGAACAGCUGAAAACAAUCAAGAAAGCAGUAAUGGGAGUAACGAAGCCGAGUCUAAAGAAGAUGCACAUCCCGAUACAGCUACGGAAUUGAAUGAGAAUCUGACAGAUACAACACACAGUUCAACCGAGAAUGUAAAUGGUAUGGUUCGGCUAUCUGAGAAAUCGGAUUCAGGUGGGAAUGACGAGCACUCGGAUUCAAAUACAACCCCUACUUCAACUGAGAAUGGGGAUGGAGCUAAUGGAGGUUCUACAAGUAAUUCGGAUUCCGGUGAAUCAAAUGGACAGACUGAAAAAUCGAAUGCCGGAUCAGACAGCAAUUCAAAUGCUGUUCAGAGUGAAGAAUCAAACAAUAAUUCUGGAGGAGAGGGGACACACACAAAUGAAAAUUCAAAUGCUGACCAGAACAGUGGAACAUCGUCGAACACUAAUGAUAAUGCUGGUGCAGGUCAGAAUGAGAAUGAUAGUAGCAAUUCGAACAAUGACGGGAAUGCGAAUGGGAAUGGUGGCAGCACAGGCAAUCAGAGCAACACCAAUGACAAUGUAAAUGCAAAUGAAGAUGUUACUCAAAAGGAAAACAACGAUUCAAGUUCAAAUGAAAAUGCUGCACAAAGCAACACCAGCAACAAUGAAAAUGCGGGUCAGGACGAGAAGAAUGCCACUCAGAGUAACACUGACAACAAUGAAAAUGUGGGUCAGAAUGAGAACAAUGCUGCUCAGAGCAACACUGAGAACAAUGAAAAUGCGGGUCAGAAUGAGAGCAAUGCUGCUCAGAGAAACACCGAGAACAAUGAAAAUGCAAGUCAGAACGAGAGCAAUGCAACUCAGAGCAACACUGAGAACAAUGAGAAUGCGGAUCAGAACGAGCACAAUGCUGCUCCAAGUAACACUGAGAACAAUGAGAAUGCGGGUCAGAACGAGAACAAUGCCACUCCAAGUAACACCGACAACAAUGAGAAUGCAGGUCAGAACGAGAACAAUGUGACUCAGAGCAACACUGACAACAGCAACAGCAACAACAACAACGAAAAUGCAAGUCAGAACGAGAACAAUGCUGCUCAGAGCAGUAACAACAAUGAAAAUGCAAGUCAGGAUGAGAACAAUGCAUCUCAGAGCUUCACCGACACCACCAACAACAAUGAAAAUGCAAGUCAGAACGAAAACAAUGCUUCUCAGAGCUACACCGACACCACCACCAAUGAGAGCAACGAUGCCAUUCAGACCAAUACCAACAGCAACGAAAACUCAAGUCCAAAUGAGAACAAUGCCGUUCAGUCCUCCAAUAACGAAAAUGCAGGUCAGAACGAGAACGAGAACAAUGCUACUCACAGCUUCAACGACAGCAACGGGAGCAGCAAUUACGACACAAAUACAGAUGGAAACACCCAGAAUAAUCCCGACACUUCUUCAACGAAUCAAGAAGUAAAAGAAGGUGAAACCGGUUUGGGAACUUUGCCAGGUACCACAACAAGUGAGGGAAAUAAAAGUGAGAAUGCAGCUGCAGAAUGAAAUUUAUAAUGGUUUGUGAUUUCAGUAUAUGAACUAAUUACUGUCACUAAAUUUUUGUUUUUCUUCUUUCCUGAUAUGGGAUCGGGAAACUGUAUGUUCCUGGUUACUUGUGCCUUUGUUGUCAUAUUAGUGCUGAAAAUUUUUAUAUUAUUUUGUACUUGUAGAUUUCUAGUUAUAAUAAUUGAAGUUCCCCAGUUUUCAUAUCUUUAUGAGGAUAUAUAUAAUAGGAAAGAAAAUCCUUUUUAGGUUUCUCUUCAAAUGUGUCUCUUGGUGCUUAAAUCAUCCUACAAAAAUAGAACUGCUUGACAUUUGGGAUAAUUACAUCAAAUAUUCUCAACUAGUCCUCAAAUUAUUAAUAUUGUAUUAAUCAGGUCUUUCUACUAGUUUAGCUAUCAAUGCACUUCGAAUUUGACGAAUUAUGGAUUCGAAUAUCCACAUGGAUCUUUUUUUUUUUUCGGAUUUGGAUAAUAUUCGGAUUUUAUGAUUAUUAUCUAAUAGGAAUUUGAACUGGAUGUGAAUAGAUGUCUCGGAUAUUCAAUUAUCCAAAUCCGAUUACUUGUUUGGGUAAUGGAUGUAAAUUUAAAUUCAAACACCCAAACCUAGUGGUACAAAAUACUUAUAGUUUUGAUUUUAUAUAUCUAAAAAGAAUUUUACUGUAUUCGAAUUCGGAUUUUUGCAGAUGUGAAAAUUCGAAAAAUGGUUAGAAAUUUUGAAUUUUUUUUUUCAAAUUUGAAAAAUGACAAUUUCAAUAAAUUUUAGGACAGUUAUUAUUGCUUUUAAAAAAAGUCAAAUAUAAGUUGUUUAUGCAAUAGGUACACUCUAGACAUAUAGUUUAAGUAGUAUUAAAUGUUCAAGCUAGACAAAAUGACCUAAUCGAUACAAUACAAAUACCUUUAAAAGGAUCCAAUUAAAACCUUUUAAAUUUUGAGGACCAAUGAUGGUAUUAGCCCUUUUUUUCUUUCAAAAUUCCAUGAAUUUAUUGCUUAAAUUGCAAGGACCAAUGGGGUUGGUGAAGCCUGAUGGUGCCUCAAUACCUUAUUAAUGGACAUCCCCACUCCUCCCAUGGUACUUGCUAUUUAUUUUGUUAGGUAAUUCAUAAUUAGUUGCUUUUGUGUUGCUUCAACAUGCAUAUUAUCAUUAAGAAAGACCUGUGGGGAUCUAUUUUUAUGAAAUGAAUUAGAUAAAGUACUAAUUGGUACAAUCAAUUAUAGCUGCAAUGUUUUCAUAUGGAAUUUUCUUUUCUUCCAAAGGACCUAAUCAUGAACAAUCAUUUUCAUUUUAAAAAAUACAACAUGGUGCACUCAUAUGGUAAAAAAAAAAAAUUUCUUGGAUAAUAUAAUUUUUGGCCCCUGAAUUUAGCAACUAGGUCCACUUUGGUAUUUGAACUUGACAACUAGAUCCAUUUUGGUCUUUGAACUUAGAUUCUAUCAAGAUUUAAUGAUGUGACCAGUAUUACUGAAACAUGAUUAGAUUAGACUUGGAAUUGAUCGAUAUAAUGGUCCGAACAAAGGGUUAAAUCGAUCGACUCGAAAAUAGCUUGAAACUGGUAAAAAUUGAAAAUCGAAACAAAAAUCAAUAGUUGAAUAAGUUGAAUUGGAUUAAUAUUUUUUAUGAUUUUUUAAUUAUUAUUUGUCUGGCAGUCGAAUUGGUUGAAUCGGGAAUCGAUGGUCUAGCCUGUUCAACCACCGGACCAAUUAUUAAAAUAUUGAAUGUGACACUUUGAGAUUGUAUGACAUCACCACAUAAAAAUUUAUAUUAAUUUUUAAAUUUUCAAGUGAUGAUAUUGUGCUUAGUUGUAAAGUUCAAGUCUCAAAGUGGACAAAAAAUAUAGGUACCAAAAUAAAUAUUGUUGCCAAGUUCAGGGGUCAAAAUUAUAUUAUCCAUAUUUCUUUCAUUUGGUUGGUAAAAGGAUGGGUUGUCAUCUCAUCAAGAGCAUCUUUCGAAAAGAGAGAAAUAUUUUAAGGUUAAUAUACUAUUUGGUACCUAUAUUUAGUUUGAAUGUUUAAUUUUGUACUUGAGCUUUUAUGUCCCAAUUUGAUAUUUGAGUUUAACUUAAAUGUUGAAUUUAGAACCUAGGUCAUUUCAAA
rnacentral:lncRNA from 1 species